UAUAGUUUUAGGGCAAAAACUGUGUUUCUUCAGUAAAAAGUUGUUUGCUGUGAGAGCAGGAGGUUUUUGUACGGCCUCUUAAUGAGUUUCUGUCACUGUGGUGGACUUUUGGUGGAGGAACCAAACUCAUCAUUCACUCUGGCCCCAUGGUCAGACCCUCAGUCUCUCUGCUGCCCCCCUCCUCUGAGCAGCUCUCUGGGGGGUCGGCCACGCUGGUCUGCCUGCUGAGCGGCUACUCUCCUCAGGGAGCCGUUGUGAGCUGGGAGGUGGACGGCACCGAGGUGACAGAGGGGGUCCUGAGCAGCUCAGAGGAGGAGAAGAGCGGACGUUACAGCAGCAGCAGCAGCUUGAGCCUGAGCCAGGAGAAUUGGAUGAAAGGAGAGCUGUACUCCUGCAGGGUCCUCCAUCACCACCACAGCCAGAUCAGGUCCUUCAAUAGGAGCCACUGUGAGGGCCAGAGAGGCUGAUGGAAGCCCAGGACAGGAGCUCUGAGUGGGAGAGAAGAAGGAAAACACCUGCUGCUCUCAUCAAUAUGAGUUUAAAUGUUGGGAAGAGAAAGUAAAGCUUUGUGUGACGCUGAACAACACUGCUGUGAAAUGUUCAAUAACUUAGAUUAAUGUGUGGAGCUCAGCGGCUGGAUGUGAGUGGGAUUAAUUUGCUGUGACCUCUAAUA